AAACCAGCACCUCAAGUGGUCAGGAUGAUUAUUGGGCCUAAAGCAUCCGUAGCCUGUUCUGUAAGUUUUCGGUUAAAUCUGUACGCUCAACGUACAGGCUGCUGGGAAUACUGCAGAACUAGGGAGUGGGAGAGAUAGACGGUACUCGGGAGGAAGUGGUAAAAUGCUUUGAUCUCUCGAUGACCACCUGUGGCGAAGGCGGUCUAUCAGAACACGUCCGACGGUGAGGGAUGAAAGCUGAGGGAGCAAACCGGAUUAGAAACCCGAGUAGUCC
rnacentral:rRNA from 1 species